AAAUUGAAGAGUUUGAUCAUGGCUCAGAUUGAACGCUGGCGGCAGGCCUAACACAUGCAAGUCGAACGGUAACAGGAAUCAGCUUGCUGAUUCGCUGACGAGUGGCGGACGGGUGAGUAAUGUCUGGGAAACUGCCCGAUGGAGGGGGAUAACUACUGGAAACGGUAGCUAAUACCGCAUAACGUCGCAAGACCAAAGAGGGGGACCUUCGGGCCUCUUGCCAUCGGAUGUGCCAGAUGGGAUUAGCUAGUAGGUGGGGUAAAGGCUCACCUAGGCGACGAUCCCUAGCUGGUCUGAGAGGAUGACCAGCCACACUGGAACUGAGACACGGUCCAGACUCCUACGGGAGGCAGCAGUGGGGAAUAUUGCACAAUGGGCGCAAGCCUGAUGCAGCCAUGCCGCGUGUAUGAAGAAGGCCUUCGGGUUGUAAAGUACUUUCAGCGGGGAGGAAGGGAGUAAAGUUAAUACCUUUGCUCAUUGACGUUACCCGCAGAAGAAGCACCGGCUAACUCCGUGCCAGCAGCCGCGGUAAUACGGAGGGUGCAAGCGUUAAUCGGAAUUACUGGGCGUAAAGCGCACGCAGGCGGUUUGUUAAGUCAGAUGUGAAAUCCCCGGGCUCAACCUGGGAACUGCAUCUGAUACUGGCAAGCUUGAGUCUCGUAGAGGGGGGUAGAAUUCCAGGUGUAGCGGUGAAAUGCGUAGAGAUCUGGAGGAAUACCGGUGGCGAAGGCGGCCCCCUGGACGAAGACUGACGCUCAGGUGCGAAAGCGUGGGGAGCAAACAGGAUUAGAUACCCUGGUAGUCCACGCCGUAAACGAUGUCGACUUGGAGGUUGUGCCCUUGAGGCGUGGCUUCCGGAGCUAACGCGUUAAGUCGACCGCCUGGGGAGUACGGCCGCAAGGUUAAAACUCAAAUGAAUUGACGGGGGCCCGCACAAGCGGUGGAGCAUGUGGUUUAAUUCGAUGCAACGCGAAGAACCUUACCUGGUCUUGACAUCCACGGAAGUUUUCAGAGAUGAGAAUGUGCCUUCGGGAACCGUGAGACAGGUGCUGCAUGGCUGUCGUCAGCUCGUGUUGUGAAAUGUUGGGUUAAGUCCCGCAACGAGCGCAACCCUUAUCCUUUGUUGCCAGCGGUCCGGCCGGGAACUCAAAGGAGACUGCCAGUGAUAAACUGGAGGAAGGUGGGGAUGACGUCAAGUCAUCAUGGCCCUUACGACCAGGGCUACACACGUGCUACAAUGGCGCAUACAAAGAGAAGCGACCUCGCGAGAGCAAGCGGACCUCAUAAAGUGCGUCGUAGUCCGGAUUGGAGUCUGCAACUCGACUCCAUGAAGUCGGAAUCGCUAGUAAUCGUGGAUCAGAAUGCCACGGUGAAUACGUUCCCGGGCCUUGUACACACCGCCCGUCACACCAUGGGAGUGGGUUGCAAAAGAAGUAGGUAGCUUAACCUUCGGGAGGGCGCUUACCACUUUGUGAUUCAUGACUGGGGUGAAGUCGUAACAAGGUAACCGUAGGGGAACCUGCGGUUGGAUCACCUCCUUACCUUAAAGAAGC
rnacentral:rRNA from 1 species